rnacentral:rRNA from 1 species
UACAGAGGGUGCAAGCGUUGUUCGGAAUUAUUGGGCGUAAAGCGCGUGUAGGCGGCUUUGCAAGUCGGGUGUGAAAGCCCUCAGCUUAACUGAGGAAGUGCGCCCGAAACUGCAGAGCUUGAAUACCGGAGAGGAUGGCGGAAUUCCCCAAGUAGAGGUGAAAUACGUAGAGAUUGGGAAGAACACCAGUGGCGAAGGCGGCUAUCUGGACGGUUUCUGACGCUAAGACGCGAAAGCGUGGGGAGCAAACAGG